rnacentral:rRNA from 1 species
CGCGUGGGUAACCUGCCUCAUACAGGGGGAUAGCAGCUGGAAACGGCUGAUAAAACCGCAUAAGCGCACAGCAUCGCAUGAUGCAGUGUGAAAAACUCCGGUGGUAUGAGAUGGACCCGCGUCUGAUUAGCUAGUUGGUGAGGUAACGGCCCACCAAGGCGACGAUCAGUAGCCGGCCUGAGAGGGUGACCGGCCACAUUGGGACUGAGACACGGCCCAA